GAAGGACAGCACCUCACCUUAGCUGCAGCAGCCCACACACACAGCUCACUUUCUGCCUGGACUCCUCUGCCUGCAGCUGGUAUUGGGCCUGUUGGAAUUUGCGCAUCCAUUUCAUCGUGGGCCAAUGUGAAAUGGGAACUAUUUGAACUCUUUCAGAAGACGGACUCCUCGAUAAAGCAGUAGUACUCCUGUUUCCAACGUUUCACAUUAUUGUAUGGAGGCCGUAAAGUCCACAAUCAAAUAACUGGCC